UAAAUAACAAUCGUUAUGUUGCUUUUUGUGACAUCUCGGAGUUGGGUCAUCUUAAUUUUCUUAAGGGACCUAAAAUUGAAGUACCUUGCGCAUUUCGACGUGUAUAAUUUUUUUUAUCUCGUCACCGAAUGCCAUGUUUUAUUAGGUGUGUGACUAUGUUAAAGUGGUUUCAUGCCUAUAGAAUUCUUGAUU
rnacentral:misc_RNA from 1 species